UACGAAGGGGGCUAGCGUUGCUCGGAAUCACUGGGCGUAAAGGGUGCGUAGGCGGGUCUUUAAGUCAGGGGUGAAAUCCUGGAGCUCAACUCCAGAACUGCCUUUGAUACUGAGGAUCUUGAGUUCGGGAGAGGUGAGUGGAACUGCGAGUGUAGAGGUGAAAUUCGUAGAUAUUCGCAAGAACACCAGUGGCGAAGGCGGCUCACUGGCCCGAUACUGACGCUGAGACGCGAAAGCCAGGGAGACGAACGGG
rnacentral:rRNA from 1 species